ACUCCUACGGGAGGCAGCAGUGGGGAAUAUUGCACAAUGGGGGGAAAACCCCUGAUGCAGCCAUGCCGCGUGUGUGAAGAAGGCCUUCGGGUUGUAAAGCACUUUCAGUAGGGAGGAAGGUAGUGUAGUUAACACCUGCACNAUUUUGACGUUUACCUACAGAAGAAGCACCGGCUAACUCCGUGCCAGCAGCCGCGGUAAUACGGAGGGUGCGAGCGUUAAUCGGAAUUACUGGGCGUAAAGCGCAUGCAGGCGGCCUGUUAAGUCAGAUGUGAAAGCCCGGGGCUUAACCUCGGAAUUGCAUUUGAAACUGGCAGGCUAGAGUCUUGUAGAGGGGGUGAGAAUUG
rnacentral:rRNA from 1 species